rnacentral:Y_RNA from 1 species
GGCUGGUCCGAAGGUAGUGAGUUAUCUCAAUUGACUGUUCACAGUCAGUACAGAUUGAACUCCUUGUUCUACUCUUUUUCCCCCGUCUCAUUACUGCACUUCACUAGUCUUAA